GUGCUAGCUUCGGCAGCACAUAUACUAAAAUUAGAAUGAUACAGAGAAGAUUAGCAUGGCCCCCGUGCAAGAAUGACACACAAGUUAGUGAAGUGUUCUGUAUUUUC
ensembl:snRNA U6 U6 spliceosomal RNA